UGUUCACUCAGACACAUGGGGAUCUCAAGCUAUUGCUGACUAAUUGAUAGUUGUAGUAACUGCUAUAGGCUCCUUAGAUUAGAAAUGCAUGCAGACGUGUGUCUUGAUUCAAACAUUAAGGAACACACACUCUCACUUACUUACAUGGGCAGAAAGUCUUCAUACUAAUAGAGGUGUGGGAUGGAGAUAGCAGGACAUAAAACAGAAGAGAGAGAGAGGGAGAGAGAGAGACAGAGACAGAGAGAUGGCAUGCAGCAUAUAUACCCCUACAAAUAGUUCUAAAAUGCGUUUGCCAAUGGAGAAGUCUUCAGAACCUUCCAACAGUUCAGAACACCCUUUUUCUCUCUUCUCUGCGGGACGUCUCCUCCAGAUUACUCGAAAAAAGCGGAAAAGGUCGCAUUGUACUAUAGAGCCAGAUUGUCAACUGCGAUAAACUAGCAUAACUACACUGAAGGCAAGGAAACUUCCGGUUUACACUAGCUGAGGAUCUCGCUGAUAGUUUUACCCUCUUCAGUCACGAAAAGGUGGAUGUCAGAUUUCAACAGCAUAGAGCAAAGGAGUGGGGAAAAGAGAGGUGUGUUUUUAAGCAGGCCAAUAGAAUGAAAUACCCCUAUAGCUCACACAAGGAGGAUGUAAAAGCAGCAAAGAGUCCUGUGGCACUUUAUAGACUAACAGACAUAUUGGAGCAUGAGCUUUCGUGGAUGAAUACCCACUUCGUCAGAUGCAUGUACAGGGAGGAUGCAGCUUUUCAAAUGACAAAGAGUCUGCAUUCAUCAAAGUGCUGGCAUCCGUACCAAAGCCAUCUAGUCAUCGCAGCCUCGUGUAUUUAGACAUCUCUGCACUUUAAUUAUAAAAAUGUAACUGACCACACCCUGCAUGAAACUCUGUACAGCCCAUAGAGAUAUCUACUGGCUGAAUAAUACCCUGCAAGUAAACAGAUAGAAGAAGAAGCUGAAGUUGAAAAGAGCUGCUUCUCCUGGUGUUUCCAGUCUGAAAGGAGGGGAUAUUUUGUUUCCUUCUCUAUAUUUUCUGCCAUGUCAUGCCCCAAUCCAGGUUUUCCUCUGCAUGCAUUCUGAGCCAUCUUCCCUCUGAAUCCUGACCUGCAGAAGAGUGAGGAGAAAACAGUUUUUCAUGCUGAUCUAUUUUUGUUGAUGUAGAUCACUGCUGUUCAGAGUUGGCUGAGAAGAGGGGCAGGCUCAAGACCACUUCCUUUGCUUGAGGAACGCAGCUACCGCACUAGCACAGGACUGGCCUGGGGAACACAGCAGAAAACAAUUUUCAGGAUCUCCCUUGGCAACUGGGUUGACUGGACUUCCACCAGGUGAGAAGAAUCAUAGAGACAAAGUUAGAUUCAGAGGCAUACUGCUUCUGAGACAAGAACCCGGCCAUAUAAAUGAAUUCAAUUUCCAGUGACCAAUGGGAAGCUCCAGAGUACCACAGAAGUAGCUGUUCUAGGAGAGGAGAUGCCAAAAAUCUGAUGAGAGACCGUGUUCUUUUAGUCCUACAUUCUGGCCUCGCAAUUUGCGCAUCAAGGAGUUUACAAUCCAAGCCACAACAGGUGGAAGGGAGGACAAGGAGACAAUGAAACAGUUAAGAUCACCACAGCAAGCAGCAGUCACAGCAUACCAGCUGCCUAACCUGUCAAGAGUGUUGUAGGCAUCACAACAGAUGGCGAGGAUCUAAGGAGAAAUUCGAAGGAGGGUGGAGUAGUAGCCUUGUAGGAUUUGCUUCUGCUCCUAGGCAGCACUUGCAUUAAUGCUAGGCUGGAUUCCCUGCCCUCAGCUCUGCUUAUCACAUGGUAUAUAUCCAAUGCUCUAUACCAGUCGUUCUUAACCUUUACUGCAGCCUGCACCCCUUUGGUUCUCAAAAUAUAUUC